AGUGAACGCUGGCGGUAGGCCUAACACAUGCAAGUCGAACGGCAGCACAGUAAGAGCUUGCUCUUACGGGUGGCGGGUGGCGGACGGGUGAGGAAUACAUCGGAAUCUACUUUUUCGUGGGGGAUAACGUAGGGAAACUUACGCUAAUACCGCAUACGACCUACGGGUGAAAGCAGGGGAUCUUCGGACCUUGCGCGAUUGAAUGAGCCGAUGUCGGAUUAGCUAGUUGGCGGGGUAAAGGCCCACCAAGGCGACGAUCCGUAGAUGGUCUGAGAGGAUGAUCAGCCACACUGGAACGGAGACACGGUCCAGACGCCUACGGGAGGCAGCAGUGGGGAAUAUUGGACAAUGGGCGCAAGCCUGAUCCAGCCAUACCGCGUGGGUGAAGAAGGCCUUCGGGUUGUAAAGCCCUUUUGUUGGGAAAGAAAAGCAGCAGGUUAAUACCCCGCUGUUCUGACGGUACCCAAAGAAUAAGCACCGGCUAACUUCGCG
rnacentral:rRNA from 1 species